GACACUACAACACCAGAAAGCACCACCACAGGUACCACAACAACCGAGACCACAACAGACACUACAACACCAGAAAGCACCACCACAGGUACCACAACAGCUGAGACCACAACAGACACUAUAACACCAGAAAGCACCACCACAGGUACCACAACACCAGAAAGCACCACAACCGAGACAACAACAGACACUACAACACCAGAAAGUACCACUACAGGUACCACAACACCAGAAAGCACAACAACCGAGACCACAACA